CCUACGGGGGGCAGCAGUAGGGAAUCUUCGGCAAUGGGGGCAACCCUGACCGAGCAACGCCGCGUGAGUGAAGAAGGUUUUCGGAUCGUAAAGCUCUGUUGUUAGAGAAGAAUGAUGGUGGGAGUGGAAAAUCCACCAAGUGACGGUAACUAACCAGAAAGGGACGGCUAACUACGUGCCAGCAGCCGCGGUAAUACGUAGGUCCCGAGCGUUGUCCGGAUUUAUUGGGCGUAAAGCGAGCGCAGGCGGUUUUUUAAGUCUGAAGUUAAAGGCAUUGGCUCAACCAAUGUACGCUUUGGAAACUGGAGAACUUGAGUGCAGAAGGGGAGAGUGGAAUUCCAUGUGUAGCGGUGAAAUGCGUAGAUAUAUGGAGGAACACCGGUGGCGAAAGCGGCUCUCUGGUCUGUAACUGACGCUGAGGCUCGAAAGCGUGGGGAGC
rnacentral:rRNA from 1 species